AAACUUGGAGAGGCGCUGCGUCGGGGGACGGGGCUACAAGCCGUCGCUGGGGGCGGGGCUUGCGGCCCACCUGUAGGUCCCGGUGCCACCUCGUCAGUGUCCCGAGAGAUCCCCAGAAGAACGAGAGGGCUGAACAGGGGACCCCACUGACGUCCGGUGGGCCGACUUUACGAUCCUUUAGGAUGAAGAAACUAAGACUCAGAGAAGACAAAUGACAUGCCCAAAGACACAUUGAUAAGAACGCAUCUGGUAGUGGUGUUCGAGUCCAGCGUUGCAGCAGAGAGAUGGAAUAAGGACAAUGAGAGCCAGCAAGCAGGGAAGUGGAGCAAGGAUGGUGCCGUCCGGCUGCUCAGCUGCUGGCUGGAACUCCCGGAGGACUCUGUGAGGAUGCAGGUAGAAGGU
rnacentral:lncRNA from 1 species